GGUUGGUCCAAUGGUAGUGAGUUAUCAGAACUUAUUAACAUUAGUGUUACUUAAGUUGGUAUUCAGUUCCCCACGGCUAAAUUUGACUGUCUUUAA
rnacentral:Y_RNA from 1 species